rnacentral:rRNA from 1 species
CCUACGGGUGGCAGCAGUGGGGAAUAUUGGACAAUGGGCGAAAGCCUGAUCCAGCCAUGCCGCGUGUGUGAAGAAGGCCUUCGGGUUGUAAAGCACUUUCAGUGGGGAAGAAAGCCUUGGGGCUAAUACCCUCGAGGAAGGACAUCACCCACAGAAGAAGCACCGGCUAACUCCGUGCCAGCAGCCGCGGUAAUACGGAGGGUGCGAGCGUUAAUCGGAAUUACUGGGCGUAAAGCGCGCGUAGGCGGUCUGAUAAGCCGGUUGUGAAAGCCCCGGGCGCAACCUGGGAACGGCAUCCGGAACUGUCAGGCUAGAGUGCAGGAGAGGAAGGUAGAAUUCCCGGUGUAGCGGUGAAAUGCGUAGAGAUCGGGAGGAAUACCAGUGGCGAAGGCGGCCUUCUGGACUGACACUGACGCUGAGGUGCGAAAGCGUGGGUAGCAAACAGGAUUAGAUACCCCGGUAGUC